CAAACCCAAGCGUGACUCGCAAUUUUGUCUUCCCUUGCUUUGGUGAUCAUGGAAGCAUGAGGCAUUACAGGAUCAAAGCAAACCCAUUGCUGAGCCACACAUGGAGGACAGCUGUUGUGAACAUUUUUGGAGAUACAUACAACCGACUUCAGAGGGAAUAUCCCAUCUCCUACCACACCAGGAUCCCCACUUAGGAGGCUUUAUCUUGCUCCUUAUCCUGGAGAACCAUGCAGUGGGGAGAAGACCUCCAGGCUGGGCUUAUUACCGAAGAGCUGGAGACCUUGGUCAAAUGCACUUGGAAAAGCUGCCUUAGCAACCAGAAUUUUCAUGCCUUUGCCCUCAAAAUGCCUUUGGUUGGUCUUCCAAAAGUUCUACUUUCUGAGAUGAAGAGCCAGGAUCCCAGCAGCUAUUGAUGCCUACUCUGUGUCUGGUCC